GGGCGAUUAGCUCAGCGGCAGAGCACUUCGUUUACACCGAAGGGGUCGUAGGUUCAAAUCCUACAUCGCCCA
rnacentral:tRNA from 1 species